rnacentral:rRNA from 1 species
AAGGGCGCACGGUGGAUGCCUUGGCACUAGAAGCCGACGAAGGACGUUACUAACGACGAUAUGCUUUGGGUAGCUGUAAGUAAGCGUUGAUCCAGAGAUUUCCGAAUGGGGGAACCCAGCACGAGUUAUGUCGUGUUAUCGACAAGUGAAUUCAUAGCUUGUCAGAAGGCAGACCCGGAGAACUGAAACAUCUUAGUACCCGGAGGAAGAGAAAGAAAAAUCGAUUCCCUGAGUAGCGGCGAGCGAAACGGGAAGAGCCCAAACCAAUAAGCUUGCUUAUUGGGGUUGUAGGACACUCUAUACGGAGUUACAAAGGAAUAUAUUAGACGAAUCAUCUGGAAAGUUGAAUCAAAGAAGGUAAUAAUCCUGUAGUUGAAAAUAUAUUCUCUCUUGAGUGGAUCCUGAGUACGACGGAGCACGUGAAAUUCCGUCGGAAUCUGGGAGGACCAUCUCCUAAGGCUAAAUACUCUCUAGUGACCGAUAGUGAACCAGUACCGUGAGGGAAAGGUGAAAAGUACCCCGGAAGGGGAGUGAAAGAGAACUUGAAACCGUGUGCUUACAAGUAGUCAGAGCCCGUUAAUGGGUGAUGGCGUGCCUUUUGUAGAAUGAACCGGCGAGUUACGAUCUGAUGCAAGGUUAAGCAGGAAAUGUGGAGCCGUAGCGAAAGCGAGUCUGAAUAGGGCGUUGAGUAUUUGGUCGUAGACCCGAAACCAGGUGAUCUACCCAUGGUCAGGUUGAAGUUCAGGUAACACUGAAUGGAGGACCGAACCGACUUACGUUGAAAAGUGAGCGGAUGAACUGUGGGUAGCGGAGAAAUUCCAAUCGAACUUGGAGAUAGCUGGUUCUCUCCGAAAUAGCUUUAGGGCUAGCCUCAAGUGAUGAUUAUUGGAGGUAGAGCACUGUUUGGACGAGGGGCCCCUCUCGGGUUACCGAAUUCAGACAAACUCCGAAUGCCAAUUAAUUUAACUUGGGAGUCAGAACAUGGGUGAUAAGGUCCGUGUUCGAAAGGGAAACAGCCCAGACCACCAGCUAAGGUCCCAAAAUAUAUGUUAAGUGGAAAAGGAUGUGGCGUUGCCCAGACAACUAGGAUGUUGGCUUAGAAGCAGCCAUCAUUUAAAGAGUGCGUAAUAGCUCACUAGUCGAGUGACACUGCGCCGAAAAUGUACCGGGGCUAAACAUAUUACCGAAGCUGUGGAUUGUCCGUAGGACAAUGGUAGGAGAGCGUUCUAAGGGCGUUGAAGCAUGAUCGCAAGGACAUGUGGAGCGCUUAGAAGUGAGAAUGCCGGUGUGAGUAGCGAAAGACGGGUGAGAAUCCCGUCCACCGAUUGACUAAGGUUUCCAGAGGAAGGCUCGUCCGCUCUGGGUUAGUCGGGUCCUAAGCUGAGGCCGACAGGCGUAGGCGAUGGAUAACAGGUUGAUAUUCCUGUACCACCUAGCAUCGUUUUAAUCGAUGGGGGG